CGGACGGGUGAGUAACGCGUGGGUAACCUGCCUCAUACAGGGGGAUAACAGUUAGAAAUGACUGCUAAUACCGCAUAAGCGCACUAAAACCGCAUGGGUUUGGUGUGAAAAACUGAGGUGGUAUGAGAUGGACCCGCGUCUGAUUAGCUAGUUGGAGAGGUAACGGCUCACCAAGGCAACGAUCAGUAGCCGACCUGAGAGGGUGACCGGCCACAUUGGGACUGAGACACGGCCCAAACUCCUACGGGAGGCAGCAG
rnacentral:rRNA from 1 species